UGCCUCUUGGGCUCAGCAAACAGGAGGAACACGGAGGCCACUGAGGCUGUUUGCAAAAGACUGUCAAGGCUCACACGAGUUCUCAUGUUCAUGUUGGUCCGAGGGCUGGAGGGCCUUGAGUUUUCCCUCCCUGCAGCUGGCCGACUCUGGGAUGCUUCCAGACAGCCUCUCGGAGGUGAGAGAGGAAGGAACAUUAACUCUGCAACUUAGCCCCUAGGAAAAGUGCGUCCACUCACCGGUGACUACCUCGCUUAGCCAUUAAAUGUCACGGCAGCCCAUGCGCACAGGAAAGAGAAUCUACAUCUGGCAGUAAAAAAAGCACUCAACACGUACAACAUACCUCAUGCGGUAGGAUGAAGAGUGGUCCCCUAAAACGUCCACGUUCUAAUCCUCAGAAACUAUGUCUAUAUGAGCCUUUAUGGCAAGAUGGACUUUGCAGAUAUGAUGAAGUUAAGGGUCUUGAGAUGGGAAGAUUAUCCUGGAUUAUCUGGGUGGGCCUGAUAGAAUCACAAGAGUCCUUAUAAGAGGGAGGUGGGAGCUCAAAGAGGACAGAAGAUGCUCCACAGCUGGCUUUGAAGGUGGAGGAAGCCACGAGAAUAUGGGAAGCCAUGAGUUGCCACUAGAAGCUGAAAAAGGCAAAGAAACGGAUUCUCCCCUGGAGACUCCAGAAGGACCCAGUUCGGCUGACACUACUAUUUUAGUCCUAUCGGACUUGUUUUGGACUUCUGACCUUCAGAACCGAGCAGAGGGGAUGUUUGAGCCACAAGAUGCAAGGAGCCUGGGACCCUGAAUUACCACGAGGAGAAAGCUGCAUGCCGGCCAGGAAGCCCCACACUGGAUUGUUAUAGAGAAACAUCGGGAAUGACAACACAAUGAGAUCAUGAUAAGAGGAAGCAGCUAAACCUGACAGGUCACCUCCUCCUCUCGUUCUAGCAACCCAGCCUCUCAUAAGAACAAGGAAGAGCAAAGUGACAGCUUCCAGAGCAAAGGGGAGACAUCUCGCAGCUCUGAGUAGAUAAGCUUAGUGCUGGCUUCACACGGAGGGGCAAGACUCCGGACUCCAUGGGAUAACAAAGCUUUGUUUCCAAAUCAACUGUGAAUAUGAAGACCGAAGGAGAGCUGACCCAGGGCCCAUCGCAAAAGGGUUCAGAGAGACCACAGAUCUUUGCUGGCCAAAGUAUUAAAAAUAAAACAACAAAACCAAAGACCCUUCACAAGAAACUGAAAUCACAAGAAACUGAAAUGUAAAGGAGAAUGACUUGAGUUUGUCAGUAUCGCGAGAACUGAAAGGGGAUCUGCGUUGGCUCCUGGAAGUGUAUAACCAGGUUAGGAACAGUGGAGCUGAGAUUAACUCAGAUGCCCAUCAGAGGCUCCGAAUGGAAAACCAUGUUGAAAAGCAUAAAGUGCUCUCUGAUGUGAGGCAUUCUUGGGAUGUGCGGAAAUUAUUUUCAUUUGAAGGGAAAGAGAAAAACUAAGAAACAAAAGAAGCCAAAGAGCCUUUCAAAUAUUUUACCAUGAAUUCGUACUUUGAAAGGAAAAUAAUAAAAGUGGAUUCAUAAUGACUGAUUAAAAACAUAGCCUUGUUUACUAGGGGAGAUCAAAAGCUGGCAAAAUUGUGGUGCCUUAAUUUGGGGGGAAAUUGCUUGCCCCCAGUCAACAAAUGUGGGACCUCUUACCCCUUCCACUGUGAAGCAUGUGGGAG
ensembl:lncRNA